rnacentral:rRNA from 1 species
AGUCAUAUGCUUGUCUCAAAGAUUAAGCCAUGCAUGUCUCAGUACAAGCCGCAUUAAGGUGAAACCGCGAAAGGCUCAUUAAAUCAGUUAUGGUUCCUUAGAUCGUACCCACACUUACUUGGAUAACUGUGGUAAUUCUAGAGCUAAUACAUGCAAACAGAGCUCCGACCGGAGACGGGAGGAGUGCUUUUAUUAGAUCAAAACCAAUCGGCGGCGGGCGCGUUCGCGCGUCCGUUCGCCGCUCAACCUGGUGACUCUGAAUAACUUUCCGCUGAUCGCACGGUCUCGCACCGGCGACGCAUCUUUCAAAUGUCUGCCUUAUCAACUGUCGAUGGUAGGUUCUGCGCCUACCAUGGUCGUAACGGGUAACGGGGAAUCAGGGUUCGAUUCCGGAGAGGGAGCCUGAGAAACGGCUACCACAUCCAAGGAAGGCAGCAGGCGCGCAAAUUACCCACUCCCGGCACGGGGAGGUAGUGACGAAAAAUAACGAUACGGGACUCAUCCGAGGCCCCGUAAUCGGAAUGAGUACACUUUAAAUCCUUUAACGA